AAGUAGCAAGAUGAAGGCAUGACUUAUUUCAAGUCUUUUCAAUUACCGAACCAAUGGCAUAAUACAUUUCUCUUGUCAACCUCAUCUCUAAAUUGUUGACAGUUUAUCAGCUUCUCUUCAACUACCCUUCAUUACAAGUGGUCCAGAAAAGUAAGGAAUAAUCAAGAAAGACAAAAAGAAUAAGAACAGCAGUGGGCUGCUUGCUGAUAUAAAGCAGAGACAAGAAGCAUGAUCAUUUCACAAGACGAGGGGCCCUGUAAGAUUAACUAACAACACAGCAGGAUUUCCAGAAGAAGCAAACAAAAAAGAGCUUCCAAGCCAAUUUACAAAACAAUUUGAGUUGCUGCAGCCUCUUAGUCUCAGCAGUGGUGACUUAAUGUGAAGCAAAUCCAGCUGAAUAUUUUAUACCAUCGUUCAUGAGCUGGAGUAGUUUGGACGAGGAGACGUCAUUAUAACGACGGACAUCGAACCCGAGAUCC